UUAAAUUUGGGCCAUUAAGGACGUCUGUAACUUCAAGAGAAUGUUCAGCGCCCAUCACUUGAGCCCCAGGCAUACCUCAAGACAGGCAGCCAGGCAGGAAGGCUUGAAAAUAAGCGUGGGAAUGAACUAGGGGCUGUAAACACCGAAGCUUCAGAACCCAUGUGAGGGUGACGCAGCGCGACUUCCUGGGCUAAUUACAUUUGUGGGCGUUUCCGCCGGUCCAAACUGUUCCAGACGCUGGGAGGGUUCAGAAGAGCCGCUCACCCCGCAGCGAUCACGAAUGAGAGGAGUCGGUGAUAAUCAAGGCAGUAACCAGCCCAGGCAGCUGUGGCCACGCCCCCCUUGAUCUCUGCCCGAAGCGCAGUAAACCAGAAAGAUAGAGGGAUGUUGCCAAACACCCCGACUCCAUGAUUCUUUCUAACUUUCCCUACGCCUCCCCGAUCCAGUAACGUUUCGGUUUAAAGUCUCCGCUGGGCCCUGUGGCAUGAACCAGGGACUUGGCGCUCUGUUGAAGGGAGAGCAGGCAGCAGUCAAGAGGUGGAAUCCUUGGCGUGCCCUUGUUGAUAGGAUGCCAGGGGGCUUCUCCCAGCGUCUGCAACUAGACCUGGUUGCUCUGGCUGCUGUGCCUGUUUGUGUAGGCGCUGGGGAUCUGAACUCAGGUCCUCCUGCUUGCGGGACUGAGUCACAAAGCCCCACCUAACCUACUUUGGAACAGCCAUUCCCAGAAUGAUCCUCUGUGCUGUCUGCAGUUAAUCCCUGUUCCUGCCCUCCCCCUGGCAACCAUUAAUGCUGUUUCCGGCUCCUUAGACUUGCCCGCUGUCAAUAUCCAUGGGCCUCCGUCUCUGUGUCUGGUUUCUUCCAUGAAGUGAUACAUCCCAAAGGCUUGUCCACCCUGUGCAGGGGUCGAUCUUUCAGUCCUGUGUGACUGGUAUCACCAUGGUGUGGACAGGCCAGUGGUAUUUCUCCAUUCACAGUCCAUGAUGGCUCAGCGGCUCCUGCUUUUUGGUCAUUGUGAAGGAAGCCGCUGCACCUUUCUGCAACAUUCCCGAACUAGUCUUUGAGUGGAUAUGCAGUUCUUUCUCUUAGCUAGAGAACGGAUGGCUUUAACUGAAAGUAUAUUUUGGAGGUAGAUCAUGUGUGCCCACGAUACAGGAUUUAGGAGGGCCAGGUGUGGUGUGCACACCUUUAGUUCGGGGAGCAGAGGCAGAGGCAGGCAGAUCUCUGAGCGUUUGAAGCCAGGCUGGCCUACCUAGCAAGUUCCAGACCUGCAGAGUGAGACAAUGUCUCAAAAGACCAAAACAACAGCAACAACAACCAGAUUUAACCCUUAUACAACCAGACAAAAACAUACUAGCAAAAAGGCACUGAGUUUCAUAGGAGGUGUGCUUUAGUUUGGGUUUCUGGGAGUAGAGGUAAGCCAGAACUGGAGUUCAGGUGGGUUCUUUGAAAUUGACCCCAUGAAGCACAUGGGAGUCAAACAGGAGAGUUCAGGCAGAGUGAGCUGAUGAAUGUGGCUUGAGUCAGGUUCAGAUCUGCUCAGCCCCAGGGAGGGUUGGAGGAUAAAUCCUGGAGGAAUGGAAGGUAGGCUUUAGCCUGACCCAGGGUUAUCUCUUCCGGAGUCACACUUGCUUAAUAAUCAGUGUCAUGGCUGUGUGAACGUCACAGCGUGCACCUCGCAGACCAAGUUGGCUACAGUGUCACUGGGGACACAUCUCCACCAUUGACACAGCUCAUCAUGAACACAAUAUGAAUGUUGCCACGUGGCUUGGGCACUCACUCACUCCAACGGCAGCUUCAUCUCAUCAUGGGCAGAACUCACACUGUUCUAACCACUUGAGUGUUUGUCUUGAGAACGUGGUGUGUCUUGGAAAUGUGGUGGGUCAUGUCUCCUCCCCCAAAUCCCCGUCACACACACACACACACACACACACACACACACUUUGAGACAAGAGUUUGCCCUAUAGGCCAGGCUGGCCUUGGACUUGUGAUCAUCCUGCCUCAAGCUCCUGAGUGCUGGGAUUGUAGCGGCGCAUCAUCAUGACUGGCUGCACCACACCCUUAAAAGGCACAUGAUAUCCCUCACAAGAACAUGCCUUCUUAAUUUCCCGUCUCUCUUAUUAGUGGACACCAUUGUUCUGAUCAUCUCUUAGUAGUGACGUUGUAGUCAUUUACUUUGGAAUGCACCAGAAGUCAGGUGGUUGGAUGAACAGAGGGAUGGAUGGAUGAGGGAUGCAUAGAUGGGUAGGUAGAGGGAUGUUUGGAUGAGUCAAUGGAUGGAAACAUGGAUGGCUGGAGUUAUGGGUACAUGCUUGAUAAGUGACCUGAGCAGUGGGAUUGAGGAGUGGUUAUAUAUUGAGUAAUUGUUUAAU